rnacentral:rRNA from 1 species
GGCGAGAGACCGAUAGCGAACAAGUACCGUGAGGGAAAGAUGAAAAGAACUUUGAAAAGAGAGUUAAACAGUACGUGAAAUUGUUGAAAGGGAAACGAUUGAAGCCAGUCGUACCUUCGGGUAAUCAGCCUUUCGGGUGCGAUUCUGUGGAGUGUGAGGAGCUUAACACCUUCAUGCUUUGCAUAUUUGUGCUCUUGGGUGUACUUGCCCGUGUGGUUGGUUAACAUCAAUUUUGAUUAUCAUAAAAUGACUGGAGGAAUGUAGCUUCGAUCUCGUAUUGAAGUGUUAUAGCCUUUGGUAGAUGUGAUGAUCGAGAUUGAGGAUUGCAACGGAUACCCUUCGGGGCUACCUGCCUGGUCUCUGAUCGUUGCUCUGGUGCCGAAAGCGUGCUUACGGUUAUCAAAGUCGAUGGUCAAUAGGUUAGAACGGGUUAAA